rnacentral:lncRNA from 1 species
GAAAAUUUGGGCUCAAGGGGUGGCCAAUGAAGCAUAAUUGUUGUAGCACCGAGGUGGGCUCCUCGGCCAGGGGGUCUUCGCCAGUCGAGAGGGUUCUUGCAAGGCCUAGCUUGAGUGUGCAUCCUCCUAUACACACCUCCUCUUGUUGAAGGCCUGAUCCUCCUGGCAUGCGAUUCGGCCCUCUUCGAUUUGUAUGCACUUACGAGCCUGGGUUGGGAGAUUGGCAUCAUCUUUCAAAUACAUUUUAUCGAGGGAGUAGAUAAGAUGUUCAUUAUGAAGGCCUCACUUCAUAGCCGACAUAGUGAUAACUUUGUUCAGGCUGUGCACUUCUAGUAUGGCCAUCUUGAAGCAUGCCAUAUAGCUACAUAGAGAUUCUCCACUACAUAGCUCUAGUAUGGCCAUGUUGAAACACGCUAUAUAGCUGUGGAGAGAUUCUCCCUUCUCUUGGUGGAGAGAGAAGAGGCUAUCCAAAGUCCUCAGUUGGAUAUGGCUAUGACCAAAGUGAUCGAUAAAUUGACACCCAAGUUACUCGAAGGAAGAAAUGGAUUCCAACUGGAGGCUAAAAUACCAGGUUCAUGCCACCUUCUUCAAAGUGGUAGGGAAGGCAAGGUACAAAAUGGUGUCCAAAGCACCCUAUAGUAUCAUGAGGGCCUUGUAGCCCUCUAGAUGAUCCAAGGAGUUGGUAGAGCCAUCAUACGGCUCCACUGCUAGUGACCCAUCUUGGAAUCGAUUUUUGAAUGAAUAGAGCUAGUGAAGGGAGGCCGGAAUUGAAGCUGGGGGCAUUAUCAUUCCCCAGGCCAUCCAUGUGGACCUCCACGAGUCAGCAUAUGAUCUCACAAAUUUUUUAAUCCAGGUCUUCAUCUUGAUAGGAUUGUCUAUGAUGGGAGGUACAGCCUGGGGUCGAGCCCCGAUUGAAAGAGAUAGGGGAUCGCCAGCAUCAUCGUCUGUGGGUGGACCUGUGGUAUGAAGAUGGUCAUCAAUCGAGAG